GCACCAGCACUCCAAUGUCAGCCGUGAAGUUUGGUCUUGUCCUAAUGUUCGGACUCAUAGUCAUGGUGGAGAAUGUCUCAAGUGGGAAAGUACUAUACAAUCAGUGCGUUGGUCGUGUUUGCUGGAGUCCAGGUGACCCUCGUUGUGGUCCAUUCUGUGAUUGCAACCGUAUACCCCGCGGAUACCGUUGUACAAUAAGGUUUAUGAAUAGACCUGGCUAAACAGAAGCUACAUCGCAUGAUGGCAUGGAGAAUCUGCACAGGGAAACUAAGCAAUACAAUGCUGCCAAAAACCGUUAAACAACUUGUGAAAAUUCUUCGAACUGAGCGACCUUGAAGAUGUUGAACUAAUUGAUGGAAGUGUAGGGUUUUGGUAGCGGGAUCGUAUUGCGGACGCGGCAGCCGCAUUUGUAUGGAGGCAAUAUGCUAGAGGCCCGUGUGCUUAGAUUUAGGCACUAAUUAAAGAACCCGUAUGGACCAAAUAUUCAGAGCCCUUCACUACGGAGUCUCUCACAAUCAUAUCGUUGUUUUGGAACGUAACCCCUCCCCCAGAUACUGUAUAUUAUUAAUUGUAGGGCUUUACUUGCCUUUAUUUAGAUAAGAUUUUGAGUCGCGCUGUAGUGCAGUACACAGCAAUUAUUUUUUUACAAGCUGUGGUUUUGAUACCGUCCACCCAGCGCGAGGCAAAUGAUGGUUCUCUCAUCCUGAUGGCAUUGGAAUGCGGUCGGCACGGCAGGGGUUGGAUCCCACAACAUCUUGCUUACUUAAGCAACGUUUUCUUCAUCAGGCUGACACGACGGGUCCAUGAUAGAUUAAGGAUCGACCUUGAGCCGUUUACUGUAGACGCCGGAUUUCCAACUGCCAACAAGCCUUACAUAUAGACGAUAUGGUCGGAAAUACCGGCGUCCGGCGGCGUUGUGAAGACGAGCAAUACCGAAAUUUUCGUGAUGUUUAAUUCAGAUGUAACAAUGCGAAAUAAUUAGAAGUGAAAAUUAUUGCGAAUUCAGUAUAGAUUCAAUGUCAAAUUCAAGUGAAUGAAUGUACAUUAAAGUGAAUUAUGAGUGAAUCGACGCACACUGAAGUAAUUGAAGAGUGAUACCACGCAGCAUAAUUUGCAUCAAGUGUGUAUAAAACGAAGUAAUAUUGAGUAACGAGUGAAUGAACUGACUUAGGUGGGAGAGAGCGAAUAAAAUGAAUAAAAAUCUAAUCAAUAAUUAUUAAAGCGACUCAAGUGUAAAUAAACGUAUAUUAAAGUGAAUUAAUGUACAUUAAAUUGAACCCAGAGUGAUUAAAGAACAGCAAACAUUUUCGGCACGCGAAGGGUCAGGAAAACCUAUAUUCCCGCUUUUUCUGGGAACAUAGCCUUCAGUCAAAUGCUCCAGCCCGCAGUAGUUAUUCGCAAUUACACAGCUGCCCGCUAGAUUAGAAGCGUCAUUGCCAUUUGAUGAAAAGUUGACGCCCCGCAAAUUUUGCUGCCAGCUGUACAUCAACGCAAAUAAAGAGUGAAUAAACGUAGAGCAAUAUCAAUCAAGAGAAUCAAAAGUGAC